rnacentral:rRNA from 1 species
UGAAUACGAGAUGCUACGGCGUCGAAGUAGUGUAUGUCAGACUUCCAAGAAAAGCUCGCAAUGUCAUAAAUAAAGAAUGCCUGUACCAUAACCGACACAGGUGGGUAGGUAGAGUAUACUAAGGGGCGCGAGAUAACUCUCUCUAAGGAACUCGGCAAAAUAACUCCGUAACUUCGGGAGAAGGAGUGCCUUCUAUUAGAAGGUUGCAAUAACAAGAUCCAAGCAACUGUUUAUCAAAAACACAGGUCUCCGCUAAGUCGUAAGACGAUGUAUGGGGGCUGACGCCUGCCCAGUGCCAGAAGGUUAAAGAAGUUGGUUAGCUUUGGCGAAGCUGAUGACUGAAGCCCUGGUGAACGGCGGCCGUAACAAUAACGGUCCUAAGGUAGCGAAAUUCCUUGUCGGGUAAGUUCCGACCCGCACGAAAGGCGUAAUGAUUUGGAUACUGUCUCGGAGAGAGACUCGGUGAAAUAGACUUGUCUGUGAAGAUGCGGACUACCUGCACCAGGACAGAAAGACCCUAUGAAGCUUUACUGUAACUUGAAAUUGAAAUUGGACUUUAUUUGCGCAGCAUAGGUGGAAGGCGUUGAGAUUACCCUUGCGGGAGUACUGUAGCCAUCAGUGAGAUACCACUCCUAUAAUGUUAGAUUUCUAACUUUGGAUCAUGAUCUGGUCAAAGAACAGUUUCAGGCGGGCAGUUUGACUGGGGCGGUCGCCUCCCAAAUGGUAACGGAGGCGUACAAAGGUUUCCUCUGAACGGGUAGAAAUCGUAUCUAGAGUGUAAAGGCAUAAGGAAGCUUGACUGUGGGACCUACAAGUCGAGCAGGGACGAAAGUCGGUCUUAGUGAUCUGACGGUGCUGAGUGGAAAGGCCGUCACUCAACGGAUAAAAGUUACUCUAGGAUAACAGGCUGAUCUCCCCCAAGAGUUCACAUCGACGGGGAGGUUUGGCACCUCGAUGUCGGCUCAUCGCAUCCUGGGGCGGUAGUACGUCCCAAGAGUUGGGCUGUUCGCCCAUGAAAGCGGUACGCGAGCUGGGUUCAGAACGUCGUGAGACAGUUCGGUCCAUAUCCGGUGUAGGCGUUAGAAUAUUGAGAGGAGCCUUCUUUAGUACGAGAGGACCGAGAAGGACAUACCUCUGGUGUACCAGUUAUCGUGCCAACGGUAAACGCUGGGUAGCUAUGUAUGGAGAGGAUAACCGCUGAAAGCAUCUAAGUGGGAAGCCCACCUCAAGAUGAGUAUUCUCA